GUUAGAGUGGGGUGUCUCUCAGUCUCCAGAACAAUAAUGAGUCACUGCAGAUGACUACUGAAUGAAGCUUCUUGCCAGCAUUGCCACUCGGAGAUGGUUGGAGUGAAUGCAGGGAUUGCGCAGCACUGAUUUCAGAGUGAAGACAGCCACCACACUGGGCAUGCAUGGCAGCAGGAAUCGGAAAGAUCACAUCCUCAAUAGCAGACAUGCAGCUGAGCAUGUGAGCUGGAACUACAGUGAGGUUAAACACUCACAAAGGCCUUCUCUCAUAAAAGCUUCCCCAAACAGCACCAGCAACAGAGGGUCACAUGUUCAAAUACCAGAGCCAAGGGGUGUCACUUUCUAUUAAAACCACCAUGAGCCA